rnacentral:misc_RNA from 1 species
GAUGAAGAACGCAGUGAAAUGCGAUAAGUAGUGUGAAUUGCAGAAUUCAGUGAAUCAUCGAAUCUUUGAACGCACAUUGCGCCCCUUGGUAUUCCAUGGGGCAUGCCUGUUCGAGCGUCAUUUGUACCUUCAAGCUUUGCUUGGUGUUGGGUGUUUGUCUCGCCUUUGCGUGUAGACUCGCCUUAAAAUAAUUGGCAGCCGGCGUAUUGAUUUCGGAGCGCAGUACAUCUCGCGCUUUGCACUCAUAACGACAGCGUCCAAAAGUACAUUUUACACUCUUGACCUCGGAUCAGGUAGGGAUACCCGCUGAACUUAAGCAUAUCAAAAGCGGAGGA